AAACAUAGCCAUUAGAUGAUAUUACAUGGUUUUACCUGCCCAAUGUUAUAUAUGAAUGGCCGCGGUACUCUGACCGUGCUAAGGUAGCGUAAUCAGUUGACCUUUAAAUGAGGUCAGGAAUGAAUGGAAUAACCGGGUUUAGCUGUCUCUGUGUCACUAUAUUGAAUUUACUAUCUAAGUGAAAAAGCUUAGGGUUAAAAAAGGGAGGAGAAGACCCUUAGAAUUUUUUUUAAAAGAAAAUAAAAUUUUCUUACAAUUUUAUUGGGGCGAUAAAGAAAUAAUUAAAACUUUCUUUUAUUACAAGCCGAUUAUAUUAAGUGAGAAUAAAUUACCUGAGGGAUAACAGCAUAAUUCUAUAAAUGAGUUUGUGACCUCGAUGUUGGACUAGGAAACUAGCAGGCUAGCCGUUUGCUGUGUUAGGUUCUGUUCGAACUUUUAUUCCU
rnacentral:rRNA from 1 species